rnacentral:rRNA from 1 species
GACGAACGCUGGCGGCGUGCUUAACACAUGCAAGUCGAACGGAAAGGCCCUGCUUUUGUGGGGUGCUCGAGUGGCGAACGGGUGAGUAACACGUGAGUAACCUGCCCUUGACUUUGGGAUAACUUCAGGAAACUGGGGCUAAUACCGGAUAGGAGCUCCUGCUGCAUGGUGGGGGUUGGAAAGUUUCGGCGGUUGGGGAUGGACUCGCGGCUUAUCAGCUUGUUGGUGGGGUAGUGGCUUACCAAGGCUUUGACGGGUAGCCGGCCUGAGAGGGUGACCGGCCAGAGUGGGGCGGGGAGGAGCGGCAGGUGACUAGGGGAGCGGGGAGGGGGGAAUAGUGCACAACGGGCGGAAGCGUGAGGCGGCAAUGCGGCGGGCGGGAGUUGGCCCUUGGGGUGGUAGAGGGGUUUCGCCAGGGACGAAGCGUGAGCCGGCGAAAGGGGUAAAGGAGGACCGGCUAACAACAUC